CAUAUACCUGCUGAAUUUAAGCAUAU
rnacentral:rRNA from 1 species